UGCUUCUAGGGGUGGAACUGCCUCUGUCUCCUGAUGCGCUCUCAGCCAUGGAGCCAAGAAACCUUCGGCAUAGCCAAGAAGUCCGAGUUGGUAGCUGUCAAUGCUAUCAUUGAUUUCGUGUACGCCACCAACGCCGCCAGCGACAUUCUCCUGAUAUGGGUCAUUUACUACCAAACCCGUCAACAUAACAUGGGUGUCAUGGCUGACUCGAAGG